rnacentral:rRNA from 1 species
UAGAUACCCUGGUAGUCCACGCCGUAAACGAUGAGUGCUAGGUGUUAGGGGGUUUCCGCCCCUUAGUGCUGAAGUUAACGCAUUAAGCACUCCGCCUGGGGAGUACGGCCGCAAGGCUGAAACUCAAAAGAAUUGACGGGGGCCCGCACAAGCGGUGGAGCAUGUGGUUUAAUUCGAAGCAACGCGAAGAACCUUACCAGGUCUUGACAUCCGCUGACAAUCUUGGAGACAAGACGUUCUUCGGGACAGC